rnacentral:rRNA from 1 species
GACGAACGCUGGCGGCGUGCCUAAUACAUGCAAGUCGAGCGAGACUCUUCGGAGUCUAGCGGCGGACGGGUGAGUAACACGUGGGCAACCUGCCUGUAAGACUGGGAUAACACCGGGAAACCGGUGCUAAUACCGGAUAAUCCUUUUCCUCUCAUGAGGAAAAGCUGAAAGUCGGUUUCGGCUGACACUUACAGAUGGGCCCGCGGCGCAUUAGCUAGUUGGUGAGGUAACGGCUCACCAAGGCAAGGAUGCGUAGCCGACCUGAGAGGGUGAGCGGCCACACUGGGACUGAGACACGGCCCAGACUCCUACGGGAGGCAGCAGUAGGGCAUCUUCCACAAUGGACGAAAGUCUGAUGGGGCAACGCCGCGUGAGCGAUGAAGGCCUUCGGGUCGUAAAGCUCUGUUGUUAGGGAAGAACAAGUACCGGAGUAACUGCCGGUACCUUGACGGUACCUAACCAGAAAGCCACGGCUAACUACGUGCCAGCCGCCGCCGUAAAAC